GACGAACGCUGGCGGCGUGCCUAAUACAUGCAAGUCGAACGAGAGCGACCGGUGCUUGCACUGGUCAAUCUAGUGGCGAACGGGUGAGUAACACGUGGGUAACCUGCCCAUCAGAGGGGGAUAACAUUCAGAAACGGAUGCUAAAACCGCAUAGGUCCUUUAACCGCAUGGUUGAAGGAGGAAAAGAGGCGCAAGCUUCUGCUGAUGGAUGGACCCGCGGUGCAUUAGCUAGUUGGUGAGGUAACGGCUCACCAAGGCCGUGAUGCAUAGCCGACCUGAGAGGGUGAUCGGCCACAUUGGGACUGAGACACGGCCCAAACUCCUACGGGAGGCAGCAGUAGGGAAUCUUCCGCAAUGGACGCAAGUCUGACGGAGCAACGCCGCGUGAGUGAAGAAGGUUUUCGGAUCGUAAAACUCUGUUGUUAGAGAAGAACAAGUGCUAGAGUAACUGUUAGCGCCGUGACGGAUCUAACCAGAAAGCCAC
rnacentral:rRNA from 1 species